rnacentral:rRNA from 6 species
GCGACCCCAGGAUGGGCGAGG